rnacentral:rRNA from 1 species
ACGAACGCUGGCGGCGCGUCUUAAACAUGCAAGUCGACGGUAAGGAAGGAGCUUGCUCCUUUCUGAGAGUGGCGGACUGGUGAGUAACACGUGGGUGACAUACCUUUUAGAUGGGGAUAGCUAUUAGAAAUAGUAGGUAAUACCGAAUGUGACCGUAUCUGUUAGAGGGAUACGAGGAAAGGAGCUAAGGCUUCGCUAAAAGAAUGGCCCGCGGCCCAUUAUGCUUGUUGGUGAGGUAACGGCCCACCAAGGCGAUGAUGGGUAUCCGGCCUGAGAGGGUGGACGGACACAUUGGGACUGAGAUACGGCCCAGACUCUACGGGAGGCAGCAGUUAAGAAUAUUCCGCAAUGGACGAAAGUCUGACGGAGCGACGCCGCGUGGAUGAAGAAUGCCGAAAGGUUGUAAAAUCCUUUUAAGCCUGAAGAAUAAGCACAGUAGGGAA